rnacentral:rRNA from 1 species
GGGUUGUGAGGUUAAGCGACUAAGCGUACACGGUGGAUGCCCUGGCAGUCAGAGGCGAUGAAGGGCGUGCUAAUCUGCGAUAAGCGCCGGUAAGGUGAUAUGAACCGUUAUAACCGGCGAUACCCGAAUGGGGAAACCCAGUGUGACUCGUCACACUAUCAUUAACUGAAUCCAUAGGUUAAUGAGGCGAACCGGGGGAACUGAAACAUCUAAGUACCCCGAGGAAAAGAAAUCAACCGAGAUUCCCCCAGUAGCGGCGAGCGAACGGGGAGGAGCCCAGAGCCUGAAUCAGCAUGUGUGUUAGUGGAAGCGUCUGGAAAGGCGCGCGAUACAGGGUGACAGCCCCGUACACAAAAGCGCAUGUGCUGUGAGCUCGAUGAGUAGGGCGGGACACGUGGUAUCCUGUCUGAAUAUGGGGGGACCAUCCUCCAAGGCUAAAUACUCCUGACUGACCGAUAGUGAACCAGUACCGUGAGGGAAAGGCGAAAAGAACCCCGGCGAGGGGAGUGAAAAAGAACCUGAAACCGUGUACGUACAAGCAGUGGGAGCACCCUUUGGGUGUGACUGCGUACCUUUUGUAUAAUGGGUCAGCGACUUAUAUUCUGUAGCAAGGUUAACCGAAUAGGGGAGCCGGAGGGAAACCGAGUCUUAACCGGGCGUUAAGUUGCAGGGUAUAGACCCGAAACCCGGUGAUCUAGCCAUGGGCAGGUUGAAGGUUGGGUAACACUAACUGGAGGACCGAACCGACUAAUGUUGAAAAAUUAGCGGAUGACCUGUGGCUGGGGGUGAAAGGCCAAUCAAACCGGGAGAUAGCUGGUUCUCCCCGAAAGCUAUUUAGGUAGCGCCUCGUGAAUUCAUCUCCGGGGGUAGAGCACUGUUUCGGCUAGGGGGCCAUCCCGGCUUACCAACCCGAUGCAAACUGCGAAUACCGGAGAAUGUUAUCACGGGAGACACACGGCGGGUGCUAACGUCCGUCGUGAAGAGGGAAACAACCCAGACCGCCAGCUAAGGUCCCAAAGUCAUGGUUAAGUGGGAAACGAUGUGGGAAGGCCCAGACAGCCAGGAUGUUGGCUUAGAAGCAGCCAUCAUUUAAAGAAAGCGUAAUAGCUCACUGGUCGAGUCGGCCUGCGCGGAAGAUGUAACGGGGCUAAACCAUGCACCGAAGCUGCGGCAGCGACACUGUGUGUUGUUGGGUAGGGGAGCGUUCUGUAAGCCUGUGAAGGUGUGUCGUGAGGCAUGCUGGAGGUAUCAGAAGUGCGAAUGCUGACAUAAGUAACGAUAAAGCGGGUGAAAAGCCCGCUCGCCGGAAGACCAAGGGUUCCUGUCCAACGUUAAUCGGGGCAGGGUGAGUCGACCCCUAAGGCGAGGCCGAAAGGCGUAGUCGAUGGGAAACGGGUUAAUAUUCCCGUACUUGGUGUUACUGCGAAGGGGGGACGGAGAAGGCUAUGUUGGCCGGGCGACGGUUGUCCCGGUUUAAGCGUGUAGGUGUGUGUUCCAGGUAAAUCCGGUUCACUUUAACACUGAGGCGUGACGACGAGGCACUACGGUGCUGAAGCAACAAAUGCCCUGCUUCCAGGAAAAGCCUCUAAGCAUCAGGUAACAUCAAAUCGUACCCCAAACCGACACAGGUGGUCAGGUAGAGAAUACCAAGGCGCUUGAGAGAACUCGGGUGAAGGAACUAGGCAAAAUGGUGCCGUAACUUCGGGAGAAGGCACGCUGACACGUAGGUGAAGUGAUUUACUCAUGGAGCUGAAGUCAGUCGAAGAUACCAGCUGGCUGCAACUGUUUAUUAAAAACACAGCACUGUGCAAACACGAAAGUGGACGUAUACGGUGUGACGCCUGCCCGGUGCCGGAAGGUUAAUUGAUGGGGUCAGCGCAAGCGAAGCUCCUGAUCGAAGCCCCGGUAAACGGCGGCCGUAACUAUAACGGUCCUAAGGUAGCGAAAUUCCUUGUCGGGUAAGUUCCGACCUGCACGAAUGGCGUAAUGAUGGCCAGGCUGUCUCCACCCGAGACUCAGUGAAAUUGAACUCGCUGUGAAGAUGCAGUGUACCCGCGGCAAGACGGAAAGACCCCGUGAACCUUUACUAUAGCUUGACACUGAACAUUGAGCCUUGAUGUGUAGGAUAGGUGGGAGGCUUUGAAGUGUGGACGCCAGUCUGCAUGGAGCCGACCUUGAAAUACCACCCUUUAAUGUUUGAUGUUCUAACGUGGACCCGUUACCCGGGUUGCGGACAGUGUCUGGUGGGUAGUUUGACUGGGGCGGUCUCCUCCUAAAGAGUAACGGAGGAGCACGAAGGUUGGCUAAUCCUGGUCGGACAUCAGGAGGUUAGUGCAAUGGCAUAAGCCAGCUUGACUGCGAGCGUGACGGCGCGAGCAGGUGCGAAAGCAGGUCAUAGUGAUCCGGUGGUUCUGAAUGGAAGGGCCAUCGCUCAACGGAUAAAAGGUACUCCGGGGAUAACAGGCUGAUACCGCCCAAGAGUUCAUAUCGACGGCGGUGUUUGGCACCUCGAUGUCGGCUCAUCACAUCCUGGGGCUGAAGUAGGUCCCAAGGGUAUGGCUGUUCGCCAUUUAAAGUGGUACGCGAGCUGGGUUUAGAACGUCGUGAGACAGUUCGGUCCCUAUCUGCCGUGGGCGCUGGAGAACUGAGGGGGGCUGCUCCUAGUACGAGAGGACCGGAGUGGACGCAUCACUGGUGUUCGGGUUGUCAUGCCAAUGGCACUGCCCGGUAGCUAAAUGCGGAAGAGAUAAGUGCUGAAAGCAUCUAAGCACGAAACUUGCCCCGAGAUGAGUUCUCCCUGAGACUUAGAGUCUCCUGAAGGAACGUUGAAGACGACGACGUUGAUAG